GACUCAGGAGUCAGACUGCUCUCUGCUGGACUGGAGGAUCCACACUGCAGACUAGAGAAACUCAAUGUGGAACAUGGUGGAGAGUACACAAUGAAACCUGGGCUUAGAAAAUAUGCCUGUGAUCUCACACUGGACCCAAACACAGUAAACAGAAACCC